UACGAAGGGGGCUAGCGUUGUUCGGAAUCACUGGGCGUAAAGGGCGCGUAGGCGGCCGAUCAAGUCGGGGGUGAAAGCCUGUGGCUCAACCACAGAAUUGCCUUCGAUACUGUUUGGCUUGAGACCGGAAGAGGUAAGUGGAACUGCGAGUGUAGAGGUGAAAUUCGUAGAUAUUCGCAAGAACACCAGUGGCGAAGGCGGCUUACUGGCCCGAUACUGACGCUGAGGUGCGAAAGCGUGGGGAGCAAACAGG
rnacentral:rRNA from 1 species